rnacentral:lncRNA from 1 species
ACCUCUAUAAUUAAUCGUCUCAGAAGAAAAAGAAGAAGAUGAUGAUGAUGACGAUAAUGUAGAAGAAGAAGAUGAAAAUAAUUUUUCUUUCUCUGCGACGUAAUUUUUUGGUGCUGCGAUAUAUUCCCACUCGUCAUCAUCUCCUGCACAUACCAUGUUCGAUCCACGAGUAAGACAACAAUUCCCCAUCUCUGUGAAAUUAGUUGAGAUACUGUAAAUUGAUCAAAACACUACGAUUGUAAUAAAGAAAAAUGAAGUACUUCUAAAUCUACUAAUUUUCAUUAAUAUGUUUUGUGUAAUGAAAAGAAGUGGAGAUUUAUGAUUUACAUGGUACAUCAACAUUUACUAGACACAAUGUCCGUACAAGCACGGGCCCAACAUGUGUUACUUUUUAAUUUCAAUUUAUAUAAUAUAAAUAAAUUUUGAAGAGUCAAUUAAAAUUUUUGUAUGAUCUUUAAAUAUUUUAAAUUUUUAGGAGUCGUUUAGUUGGAAAAGAUAGAAAAAGACUGUUGCUUUUAGACUAUUUACAAUUUUUAAAAUUGUAAUAUGCAAUUAUUUAUAACUUAAUAAUUGUUUUGGAAUAUCAAAAAUAGAUGUCUAGCUACAUUAUGUAACUUUUGUGACUUAUCAAGUCCGUGGAGAAUUCUUUAAUUUGUUGGAAUAGAAUUGUUGAAAUAUAUCUUGAAUUUUUGUAAGUUACAUUAUAGAAUUUUUUGUGAUAAUACUGUUUAUGACAAUAUUUUUUAAUUUGUAGCAGUGAAUUUUUAUAUUUGUGGCAUAACCUAUAUGUAAUUAUAAAAAAUAUGACAUAUAUUUUCACUUUUUAUAGCAAAUUAUUAUCUACGAUUUAUGUAUUUUUUGAUAAAAAGAAUGAAUCAUAAGCCAUGCAUAAAAAUAUUUGUGGCAAAUACUUCUUAUAGUUAUAGAUUUUCUAAAUCGUAGCUAAAUAUGAAAUUAAAAUAUAAAAUAGCGACAAAUUUUAAAUUUUCAUAGCAAAAUUUUUUCGUCUUUUGCCAUAAUAGAAUACAUUGUGGCUACAUUUUAAAGAUUAGUAUGAAUUUUAUUUAUCGUGGCAAAAGAGUAAACUAUUAGCUAUAAUAAAUAUAUGUUUCGUAGCAAGAAUUUUUUUUUAUCAUCACAGCUACAACAAUUUUUUUUUUGUAGCUGUAAGUAGUAAUCCUUAGCCACAGGUCAUGUAAAGUCUGUAGCUAACUUUUAAUUACACCGCUUCUUGCUACGAAAGAUACGAAAAAGAAAACUGUGUCUAAAGUGUUUACCCUUGGAAAUUUUCAUAUUUAGCUACGAGAUAUUCUGUAGCUUUACAUGUCUUAUAUCGUAGUGGCUAUAAAAAAACCACAAUAUCGCACAAAUGGUACCAAAAUGUAUUGGGAUCAUGUCAAUUAACUCACACCCCAUAAAUGUCAUAAUGCAACUACGAGAAAGGAUAAAACAAUCAAAUCACACAAAAACACACAAUUCACAUAUUUCAUCAAAAAACUGAUCGUAACAAUUUAUUUUUUUGUGUGCUUGAAUUUUAAUCAUAUAAAUGUCAAAUAAUAAUUGUGAUAUUUAUAUUUCAAUCACUUUCUUAUAAUUCCGAAUAUAUCAGAUCUAAUCACUAACGUGAACAAUUUUAUGCAUUACUGAGUCUUCUAUAUCAUAUUGUUUUGACUUGUGAGAUGUGUCCGCAGGCUGCAUUUUACCUAUAAAAUAUUGAAUAAUUAUUAAUCAAAUUAAUAGUUAUGAGAUGUGUCUGCAGGCUGCAUUUUACCUAUAAAAUAUUGAAUAAUUAUUAAUCAAAUUAAUAGUUAUGAGAUGUGUCUGCAGGCUGCAUUUUACCUAUAAAAUAUUGAAUAAUUAUUAAUCAAAUCAAUAAUUGCUCAUUACAUAUAUAUGGUAUAUUAUGAUAUGCAUUAUGAUCCCCACUGCCACUUGUGUAUAUUUUAAAUUUUAUUUUUAUUUUCUAGCACCAAAGACCAAACACAAGGGUAUAUAUUUUAAAUUUUGUUACCUAACACCAAACAUAAGGAUCUAACAAUUAAUGAGCAAACAGUCCUACACGUAGAGACGAAGCCAGAAUUUCAAUUAAGGGGGUUCAAUAUUCGAAGAAAAUCUAGUCAAAGAGGGUUCAACACCUACUAUAAAUACAUAAAAAUAAUUAAGUUAUGUGUGUGAAUUAAAUGAAUGGUUUUUGGAUGCUUCCUGAAUUUGUCGUCCCAUCCCAUAUAUGUUGUUCGAGUCUUAAAUGAGUUCAAGCCACUGAUCACUUUUGGCUUCUUUUCCCAAAACAGGGACUACAUGGCUCAAAUCUAUACUUAUUCCUUCCAUCAUCGUCAUUAUUGAUCAAUCGCCAUCCUCAUGAUCUUGUGAGGGGAGCCGUGGAGUAACUGGUAAAGUUGCUGCCAUGUGACCACGGGUUCAAGACUUGGAAACAACCCUCUGGCAGAGAUGCAAGGUAAGGCUACGUAUGAUAUCCCAUUAUAUCUUCAUCACCAGGGGUGGAGCUACGGCCACCGAAGGGUGGUCAGAUGAACACCCUUCGUCGGAAAAAAAUUUCAAGUAUAUAAGUGUUAAAUAUAGAUAUUUAUGGAUAUAUACAUAUUGUUGAACAUUCUUGAUUAGCUAAAGAAGCAUAGCUUAUUGGUCAAGGGUGUGCAAAUCUGCAGCAGCGGUUUUUAUUUUUUUUUUUGGAUAUUCAAAUUUCCUUAUUUUACUUCUUGGAUGCCAAUUGCUAACAAUGCUUUCUUCAGAAAAGGUGGCAUUGGGGAUCACAACAAUUGCAGUUUCAUGCUGCUGGUUUCAUGUAUGGGAUUUAAUUAAUUAAUUAACAUGCAAUUAAUUGUAUCUUGUUCUAUUUCAUUUGCUCUUAAUUAUAUAUUAUUGCAAUUGCGUUUCACCAAAAUAAGACUUCUGUUUUUUAUUUUCUUGUUCGUUUCCUUAUUAAUUUCUCUUUUGAGUUGUACUUUGUAAGAUGAGUUCUUUUUUAAUGUCAAAUCAAAUUAUUGUAUUUUCAAAGUUGCAUGGUAAUUUCUGUCGAUUUUGUCCUUCAACGUUUUAAUUUUCUCUUCGGACAUGCUUUAUGCUCAACUAAUUACUAAAAUGAUUUUACUACCUAAUUUGGUUUGGACUUUGGAGAUUAAGAUUGAUUGAAAAGAGAGAGUUGGUCGAAUGAUAAACACCCCUCACUUCUAAUCAGUGACGAAGCCAGAGUUUGGGCUAAGCACCAGGAAUCGAACCUAGGUUGUUGCAGCAGAUUUGCACACCCUUGACCAAUCGGCUAUGCUUCUUUAGCUUGUCAAGGGUAUUCAACAAUAUAUAUAUAACCAUAAAUAUCUAUAUUUAACGUAUAUACUCGAAAAUUUUUUUCGAAGGGUGUUCAUCUGACCACCCUUCGAUGGCUGUAAUUCCGCCCCUGGUUCCAAUUUAGGAUUGUGAGUUUGAGUCAUCAAAGAAGCAAAAAGGUGGGAGCCACUAGGGAGGAGUAUAAAAAAACAUUAAAAAAUUAUUAAAUGGAUUAAGAUUGAUUGAAAAUAUAAAGUAAUAUUCUUGAUAGGAUUAAUUUACGUUUUUUAAUUAUUCUGAUUUACAAUAUUUUUCUUCCAUUCCAAAUUAAGUGACACCGGUAUAAUUUCGAGAGUCCAUCAAAUAUUUAAUAUCUUUUAAUUUUUUUAAGUUGUUAGUUAUUGUGAUUUAUAAUAUUUCUUACGUAUUCAUUUGGUCUCAAUUUAUGUGACGUAAAUAAAAUUUAGAUAAUCACUUGCAUUUUUAAUAUAUAUUUUUUUUUUAGAUAUUUUAAGUUGUUAGCUAUUGUAAUUUAUAAUACUCUCUCCUUGUCCAAACUUUUGUGCUAUUGAUAGUCAAUUAUAUUUUAAAAAUAAUUUAAGGUUUUAAUUAUUAUGAUUCAUAAUACUUUUUGUUCUAUUCAUAUUUAAGUGAUACCGAUAUAAUUUGGAGAGUCAACCAAAUAUUACGAUUGAAAUAACGAAGCAGACAUGUCUCGAAUGACUCUUAAUAACUAAUUACAAGUGAUAUAACAAAAUUUCUAUAAAAAAAUACUUGUGAAAAAAGUUUAAAUGGGUCUCAUAUAAGACGUCAAAUUAAUAUAAAACAUCAAGAGUUAAUUUAUCAUUUUAUGUCAAUUUUAUUUUUCUUGUUAAAUAUUAUUAAUUUUUAAUACUUAAAUGACCUAUAAUAGCUAAUUAAGGUGAUAUAGUAAAAUAACGGUUUAAGCAGCUAAAAUAGACAUGUCAUAAAUGUCUAUUUUUAUUUUUUUACUAAAUAUUAUUAAUUUUUUAAUAAUUAAAUGACCUAUAAUAAUUAAUCAGGGAUGAUAUACUAAAAUCACGGGUAGAAGCAGCUGAAACGGACAUGUCAUAAAUGUUUAUUUUCUUUUUUGUUAUUAUAUAUUAGUAAUUUUUUAAUAUGUUAAUGUUUUAUAAUAAUUAAUUAGAGGUGAUAUAGCAAAAUUAUGGGUUGAAACAACUGAAAUAGCUAUUUGAUAAAUGAUUUUUUUUACUUGAAUAUUAUUAUUUUUUAAAUAUGUAAAUAAUUUAUAAUAAUUAAUUAAGUAUAAUAUAAUAUAUUAAAAUUAGGUGUUGAAACAACUGAAUUAUUAUUAUGGGUGGUGGGCGUGGGGUGAGGAAGGUGGUGGGAAGGACAUAAAAUAAGAAAUAGUCUUUUUUUCUAUUUAUAGACAAUUAUUAUUAUGGGUGGGAAACAAGGACGAUUAGGUCAACAAUCUACUAUUAUUCAAUUUACUCUAUCUCUAAUAUUUUGCUUUGACAAUUUAUUUGUCUGUUACAAUUUACAUUGCUUUCUUGCUCAAUUACAUUUUUCAUCACUUGAAAGUUUCUCGAAAAUAGUCUCAGUAUUCUAAAAAGAUUUAUUUGUGUCCCAUUGAAUGUGCGCCGAGUAGAGCCCCAUUCGAAGGUAACGCUCCCUGUUUAAAUUUUUUUUUUUUUUUGGUGUUCCAUUCAGUGUGCGCUGAGUAGAGCCCCAUUCGGGGGUAGCGCUACCUCCCAAGAAUUUUUCCAUACCCAGAGCUUGAACUCGAGACCUCUGGUUAAGGGAGAAGCAGCUCCAUCCAUUGCACCACAUUCUUUGGUAGUUCCGCAAAGAUAGAUAUAAGAUUUUCAUAUAUUAUACCUUCUUCAUAUAUACCUUAUUUAUGACAUUAUGCUAAGUAUAUUAGUGUUGUUUCAGGUGUAUUUUUCAUGAGUAUCGAAAUAGUUUCGAUAUUCUGUAAAGAUAGAGAUGAGAUUUUCAUAUAUUAUAUCUUCCUCAUAUACACUCUAUUUAUGAGAUUACGCUAAGUAUAUUAUUGUUGUUUCACUUUAAUUACGUGAUAAAGUUUGAACGAGUACAAAGUUGAAAAGAUUUUUUUUUCUUUUGAAACUUAUAAUCAUAACAUGUCGCAUGUGAACGUAUAACUAUAAAUUUUUUCAUAUUAUUUGUGUGACUAGAAAAGAUUUUUAUUAUUAAGAAUAAAAUAAAAAGUUUUAAGUUAAAUUAUAUCUAAAUUUAGGAAGUUAUCAUUCUUUUUUUUGAAUAGAUAAGAGAAAUAUUAUCACAUAAAUUAAAAUGGUAGGAGAAAUAAAUAGUAGGGAUUCUCGAAGUAGUCUGAAACACUAUCCAAAAUAUCUACAAAUUUUGAAUAAAGAAAAAAAAAACCUUUGGAAAAAUUUAAUAUUUUAUUUAAGUGAAUGUAUGUAAGAUUGACCUUUUUUUUUUGGUUAAACAAAUGUAAGAUUGAUCUUGUAAUGUAAAAUUUGAUAUUUUAUGUGAAUCUUGUACUUAAUUUAGUCUUCUAUUACUUUUAAAAAAUAUCCACUUGAUGUUUAGUGUUCAUAUAUUAUGGACGAUGAUUAAUUUAGAUUUAUACUGUAUAAUCAUUAAAUGAAAAUACGCUUCAUAUAAAAAUUUUCUCAAUGCUCAAAUUUCAGAGACCUCUAAUUAAGGUACGAAGAAUCGUGCCCAUUCCAUCACAAUCCUCAUUGAUCACACUUGUUUUACCUACCAUUAUCAUCAUGAAGUCAUGUUUAUUUUGUGUUUAUUUAGUGUUCAUGAGUCAUAACUAAUUUGAAUUCGCCUCACAACUCAGAAGAACCGUUAAAUGGAAAAGCACUUCGUACUCAAAUUUUCUUAAUGCCUAACCUCAUAUCUUUUAAUUUAUUGAGAGCUCAGGAAUUCUGUUCAUUCUAUCACAAUCUUCGAUGAUCACACUUAUAAGUAAUUACACAAUACUAUGUCAUCUAUGAAUAACAUUCACCACGCUACCUCUCCUUGAAUAUGUCAUUUACAAUUCAUUCAACACCCAGAUAAAUAGAAACGGGAUAAGAGCUGACUGUUGGUGCGACUCCAUCACGAUUGAAAAGUAUUUCAAGUCACCUUUCACUGUUCUAACUCAGGUCUGACUCUAUCAUACAUAUCCUUAAUUAUCCUAAUAUAACUAACCAACAUGGGUUGUGGUGCAUUGGAUGGGGCUGUUCCACCCUUAACCAGAGGUCGAGGGUUCGAUCCUGGGUAUGGAGAAAACUCUGUUGGGAGCGCUGCCACCUUAAUGGGCCCCGCAACGCGCUAUCCGGAUUAAUCGGGACUCCAAUGCAGACACCGAACACUCUAUGAAAAACCAAAAAAUAAAUUUAUCCUAAUAUAGGCCACACAUACAUCUUUAGACUCCAAACAUUUCCAAAGGACCUCUCUAAGGCUUUACUGCAAGUGUUUUCUAAGUGUAAGUCUCUCAUUUUGUCCUCAGUUAUAUUGGUCUUACUUAAGUCAAAUUUAGAAUUUAAAGCAUUCAUAGUAAGGUUAAUUUAAUAAAAUAUAUUUUUAAUUAAAUUUUUUUAAAAAAAUAUGUCAAGCCAAUAAGAACCAAGUAAAAUAAAAAGAAAAAAGUAAUUAAGUUACAAGCAUUGACCAUGUAAAAACUUGACUUUGUCUAUUGGCAAAGCUCUUAAGAUAUGCUUUUACUAAACAAGAUUAAAAAGCCUAAUUUUGGAAUUAUCAAUAUGAUACAAACCUAAUCAGCUGGCUAAUUAUUUAAGGGGUCUUACUAAUUAUCCAUAUAUUAAUAUACAAUAAUACCUACAGUAAAUAUAUUAUAUAUGGUCAGUGAAAAAAAGAGGUUGAUGUAUUAAAGUUCCCGUUAUAUGUGAGGUCGGGAGAAGGGUCGGAUCAUAAGAAUCUAUUAUACGGAGCCUUACCGUGCAGUUCUGCAAGAGGGUAUUUUCACGACUUAAAUCCGCGACCAUCCUGAUCACAUGACAAUAACUUUAUCGGUUUAUGAAUUUGGAAUUAACAAUUUAUACAAUCAAAUUUAUUACCACAACUCACAAUAACUUUAGUGAAACAAAUUCAUAGUUGUAUUACAAUUAUUUUAUAACCCAUUAGGUCAAGUGAUUUACAAAAAAGUCUCAUAUGUAUAUUUUAUCCUAAACAAGCAUGCAAAAAUAGCAUAUGAAAUUUUAAUGAAUUUGAAAGAAAUUAUAUUGAAAAAUAAUCUAUGUGAUUUCAUCAAAUGAAUUUCCAUCAAAGUAGAUAAUACUUAUUUAUCAUCAAAUAUUUAAUAUAAUUUCAUAAAAUCUAAUUUUCUUCAAAUAAUGAAUUUGAGGAAAAAGGAAAAUCAUAUUAUGAAUAUGAAUAUCUAAAACUUAAUUUUAAAUUAAUUCUGAACUACUAAUGUUUGGUCUAAACAAAUAUAGAUUUAUUUAUAUUCAAAAGCUUUCAAAAGAAAUAGUCAACUUUAUACAACAAAUUUUGUUAAAUUCUUUACAAUAUCAUCAAAUAAAUGGACACACCUAAAACCUAAGAAAGUAUAGACAAAAAGGGAUUUAUAAAUACAUGUACUAUAAAAUAUAUUAUGUUCGUUGUGUACAUCUAAUCGACUCAUUUUGAAUACAUAUAUUGAUUAUGAAAUUUUAGAUUCGUCUCUGCUAUUAAUUAACUUCAGGAAUGCUCUGAAGACGAGGCCUCCAAGAUUGUUGACGUUGAAUAUUCUCAAAAUCGAAGUUAUUUUUGCUAGAAUUCAAAAAUCUUGAUAAUAGUUGAUCCAUUGUCACUUGAUCUAUAUUGUCAAUUUUUCCAGCUAGAAUUUUCUCCAAAUCCUUCUUCGUAAUUCGUAUUUUCACCUCUCUAUAAUUAAUCGUCUCAGAAGAAGAAAAAGAUGAUGAUGAUGAUGAUGAAGUAGAAGAUGAAAAUAAUUUUUCUUUUUCUGCAACGUAAUUAUUUUUUGAUGCUGCAACAUAUUCCCACUCAUCUUCAUCUCCUGCACAUACCAUGUUCGAUCCACGAGUAAGACAACAAUUCCCCAUCUCUGUGAAAUUAGCUGAGAUAUCGUAAACUGAUCUCAACACUACGAUUGUAAUAAAGAAAAAUGAAGUACUUGUAGAUAUGCUAUUUUUUCAUUAAUAUGUUUGUGUAAUGAAAAGAAGUGAAGAUUUGUGAUUUACAUGAUACAUCUAUAUUUUAUAUACAUCUAGGAGAGGGGUGGGGUGGGGUGGGGGUGACGAAGGUGGG